GUUGGAUACUGCACAAUAUGGAAGAAACAAAAGAUACAAGAAAUACAGGAACAACUGGAAGAGGAGGUAGAGGAGAUAAAGGAACAACCUCAUGAUACAAGGAGACAGAAAGAACUUAAAGAAACUGCACAGCAGCUAACAAAAAUACUUAGUGAAAAAGAAAAGGAUUUGAAUAAAAUGAAGGAAAAAA